CCAUUUGACCUCAAAUCAGGUAGGACUACCCGCUGAACUUAAGCAUAUCAAUAAGCGGAGGAAAAGAAACUAACAAGGAUUCCCCUAGUAACUGCGAGUGAAGCGGGAAAAGCUCAAAUUUAAAAUCUGGUAGUCUCUGGCUGCCCGAGUUGUAAUCUGGAGAAGUGUUUUCUGUGCUGGGCCGUGUACAAGUCUCUUGGAAUAGAGCGUCAUAGAGGGUGAGAAUCCCGUCUUUGACACGGACAUCCAGUGCUCUGUGAUGCACUCUCAAAGAGUCGAGUUGUUUGGGAAUGCAGCUCAAAAUGGGUGGUAAAUUCCAUCUAAAGCUAAAUAUUGGCAAGAGACCGAUAGCGAACAAGUACCGUGAGGGAAAGAUGAAAAGAACUUUGGAAAGAGAGUUAAACAGUACGUGAAAUUGUUGAAAGGGAAACGCUUGAAGUCAGUCGCGUCUAGCAAGGAUCAGCCUUUCUCGGAAGGUGUAUUUCUUGCUUGACGGGUCAACAUCAAUUUUGAYUACUGGAAAAAGGCCAGAGGAAGGUGGCACCUUCGGGUGUGUU
rnacentral:rRNA from 1 species